rnacentral:misc_RNA from 1 species
GAUGAAGAACGCAGCGAAAUGCGAUACGUAAUGUGAAUUGCAGAAUUCAGUGAAUCAUCGAGUCUUUGAACGCACAUUGCGCCCCCUGGUAUUCCGGGGGGCAUGCCUGUCCGAGCGUCAUUGCUGCCCUCAAGCACGGCUUGUGUGUUGGGCCUCCGUCCUCCUCCCGGGGGACGGGCCCGAAAGGCAGCGGCGGCACCGCGUCCGGUCCUCGAGCGUAUGGGGCUUCGUCACCCGCUCUUGUAGGCCCGGCCGGCGCUUGCCGACACAUCAAUCUUUUUUCCAGGUUGACCUCGGAUCAGGUAGGGAUACCCGCUGAACUUAAGCAUAUCAAUAGCGGAGA